rnacentral:rRNA from 1 species
UAAAACGUAGGAGGCAAGCGUUAUCCGGAGUUACUGGGCGUAAAGCGCGCGCAGGCGGACUUGUAAGUGGGUUGUGAAAGCGCCCGGCUAAACCGGGCGAGGACAAAUCAGACUGCAGGUCUAGAGGCGGAUAGAGGAGCGUGGAAUUCCGGGUGUAGCGGUGAAAUGUGUAGAGAUCCGGAGGAACACCAGUGGUGCAAACGACGCUCUGGGUCCGAACUGACGCUGAGGCGCGAAAGCGUGGGGAGCGAACGGGAUUAGAGACCCCGGUAGUCCACGCCGUAAACGAUGUCAACUAGGUGUCCACUCGGCUACGGUCGAGGGGGUGCCGAAGCUAACGCAAUAAGUUGACCGCCUGGGGAGUACGGUCGCAAGGCUAAAACUCAAAUGAAUUGACGG